CCUACGGGAGGCAGCAGUGGGGAAUAUUGGGCAAUGGGCGCAAGCCUGACCCAGCAACGCCGCGUGAAGGAAGAAGGCUUUCGGGUUGUAAACUUCUUUUCUCAGGGACGAAGCAAGUGACGGUACCUGAGGAAUAAGCCACGGCUAACUACGUGCCAGCAGCCGCGGUAAUACGUAGGUGGCAAGCGUUAUCCGGAUUUACUGGGUGUAAAGGGCGUGUAGGCGGGGACGCAAGUCAGAUGUGAAAACCACGGGCUCAACCUGUGGCCUGCAUUUGAAACUGUGUUUCUUGAGUGCUGGAGAGGCAAUCGGAAUUCCGGGUGUAGCGGUGAAAUGCGUAGAUAUACGGAGGAACACCAGUGGCGAAGGCGGAUUGCUGGACAGUAACUGACGCUGAGGCGCGAAAGCGUGGGGAGCAAACAGGAUUAGAUACCCGGGUAGUC
rnacentral:rRNA from 1 species